CCUACGGGAGGCAGCAGUGAGGAAUAUUGGUCAAUGGUCGGGAGACUGAACCAGCCAAGCCGCGUGAGGGAUGAAGGUACAGAGUAUCGUAAACCUCUUUUGUCAGGGAACAAAGGCGGGGACGUGUCCCCGGAUGAGUGUACCUGAAGAAAAAGCAUCGGCUAACUCCGUGCCAGCAGCCGCGGUAAUACGGGGGAUGCGAGCGUUAUCCGGAUUUAUUGGGUUUAAAGGGUGCGCAGGCGGUCUGUUAAGUCAGCGGUCAAACCCCGGGGCUCAACCCCGGCCCGCCGUUGAAAGUGGCAGUCUCGAGUUGGAGAGAGGUAUGCGGAAUGCGCGGUGUAGCGGUGAAAUGCAUAGAUAUCGCGCAGAACUCCGAUGGCGAAGGCAGCAUGCCGGCUCCACACUGACGCUGAGGCACGAAAGCGUGGGUAUCGAACAGGAUUAGAUACCCGUGUAGUC
rnacentral:rRNA from 1 species